ACGGAGGGUGCAAGCGUUAAGCGGAAGAAGGGGGAGUAAAGCGUGCGUAGGCUGUCUAGCAAGCCAGACGUGAAAGCCCUCGGCUCAACCGGGGAACUGCGUUUGGAACUGCUUGACUUGAGUCCGAGAGAGGGCGGCGGAAUUCCGGGUGUAGGAGUGAAAUCCGUAGAUAUCCGGAGGAACACCGGUGGCGAAGGCGGCCGCCUGGAUCGGUACUGACGCUGAGGUACGAAAGCGUGGGGAGCAAACAG
rnacentral:rRNA from 1 species